rnacentral:tRNA from 1 species
UACAAAAUAGUGUAAUGUGCACAUAGAUCUUUGGCAUCUAAAGAUAGCGAUCUAUCGCUAAUUUGUAA